rnacentral:lncRNA from 1 species
UUGAUUUUUGCCUCAGUUACGAAUUGGGGAAGCUUAUGAAACGGGGAUCUAAAGGGCGGAAUCCGUUCGUGGUGUGAUGGGAGGAGAAACGGUCGGGAGCGAGAGAAUCGAAGGGGAGAUCAACCUGCGGUGGAGGCGCUCGAGCGAGGAGGAAGACGAAGGGGGCUCGGGCGCUCGGCAGCGGGAUGAGUGGCGGCGCUCGCGCGAGGAGGAAGAAGAUCCACGGAGCGAGGGGGCUGUGGGGCUCGGCAAGGAGAUGGGGUAUAGCUUUUUUUUCGAGAGGAGGAGAGGGGGUAUAGGGUUUAGGUGGCCAUCAGGUUGGCCUGGCCCGCCACCGGCCGGUCUAAGGUUAAACGGGCCUGGCCCAGUCGCGGCCCGGUGAAACCCGACUCCUCCAGGCCUAGGCACGGUACCAUAUAGCUGGGCCAACUAUCCAAGGAGUAAAUGAGAAU